CUGCUUAACACAAGUUGAGUAGGGAAAGUUUUUCGGUGUAGGAUGAGACUAUAUAGUAUCAGCUAGUUGGUAGGGUAAUGGCUUACCAAGGCUAUGACGCUUAACUGGUCUGAGAGGAUGAUCAGUCACACUGGAACUGAGACACGGUCCAGACUCCUACGGGAGGCAGCAGUAGGGAAUAUUGCGCAAUGGGGGAAACCCUGACGCAGCAACGCCGCGUGGAGGAUGACACUCUUCGGAGCGUAAACUCCUUUUCUUAGGGAAGAAUUCUGACGGUACCUAAGGAA
rnacentral:rRNA from 1 species